rnacentral:rRNA from 1 species
GACGAACCGUCCGAACGUUAUUCGGAAUCACUGGGCUUAAAGAGUGCGUAGGCGGCCUGUCAGGCGGGGUGUGAAAUCCCUCGGCCCAACCGAGGAAUUGCGCUCCGAACCGACAGGCUCGAGGAGAAUAGGGGUCAGCGGAACUGAUGGUGGAGCGGUGAAAUGCGUUGAUAUCAUCAGGAACACCCGUGGCGAAAGCGGCUGACUGGGUUCUUACUGACGCUGAGGCACGAAAGCCAGGGGAGCGAACGGG